rnacentral:RNase_P_RNA from 1 species
UGGCAGGGUAAACCCCACCGGGAGCAAGACCAAAUAGGGGCGGCGGGUCGGACUGGUUCCGACAGGCGUGUUUUCGCGUCGUCGCCCGGGUAGGUCGCGUGAGGCGUUCGGUAACGGGCGUCCCAGAUGAAUGGUCAUCUAUCCUCACUCAUUUAUUUGGGAGAGGUGGACAAAACCCGGCUUACAGACCGUCUGGCAUU